rnacentral:rRNA from 1 species
GAUGAACGCUAGCGGCAGGCUUAACACAUGCAAGUCGAGGGGUAUUGGUUUUCGGACCAAGAGACCGGCGCACGGGUGCGUAACGCGUAUGCAAUCUACCUUUUGCAGAGGGAUAGCCCAGAGAAAUUUGGAUUAAUACCUCAUAGUAUAGUACCUUGGCAUCAAGGAGCUAUUAAAGUCACAACGGCAAAAGAUGAGCAUGCGUCCCAUUAGCUAGUUGGUAAGGUAACGGCUUACCAAGGCGACGAUGGGUAGGGGUCCUGAGAGGGAGAUCCCCCACACUGGUACUGAGACACGGACCAGACUCCUACGGGAGGCAGCAGUGAGGAAUAUUGGACAAUGGGCGCAAGCCUGAUCCAGCCAUGCCGCGUGCAGGAUGACGGUCCUAUGGAUUGUAAACUGCUUUUUAUACAGGAAGAAACACUGGUUCGUGAACCAGCUUGACGGUACUGUAAGAAUAAGGAUCGGCUAACUCCGUGCCAGCAGCCG